rnacentral:rRNA from 1 species
GAUCCUGGCUCAGGAUGAACGCUAGCGACAGGCUUAACACAUGCAAGUCGAGGGGCAGCGAGGGAGUGGCAACACUUCCCCCGUCGGCGACCGGCGCACGGGUGAGUAACGCGUAUGCAACCUGCCCUUCACAGGGGGAUAACCGGGAGAAAUUCCGACUAAUACCGCAUACGUCCUCCGGGGGCAUCCCCGGGGGAUGAAAGAAUUAUCGGUGAAGGAUGGGCAUGCGUGAUAUUAGGUAGUUGGCGGGGCAACCGGG